rnacentral:rRNA from 1 species
UCCCAGACUCCUACGGGAGGCAGCAGUGGGGGAUAUUGGACAAUGGGGGAGACCCUGAUCCAGCGACGCCGCGUGAGUGAAGAAGUAUUUCGGUAUGUAAAGCUCUAUCAGCAGGGAAGAAAAUGACGGUACCUGAGUAAGAAGCCCCGGCUAACUACGUGCCAGCAGCCGCGGUAAUACGUAAGGGGCAAGCGUUAUCCGGAUUUACUGGGUGUAAAGGGAGCGUAGACGGCAGUGCAAGUCUGGAGUGAAAGGCGGGGGCUCAACCCCCGGACUGCUCUGGAAACUGUACGGCUGGAGUGCAGGAGAGGUAAGUGGAAUUCCUAGUGUAGCGGUGAAAUGCGUAGAUAUUAGGAGGAACACCAGUGGCGAAGGCGGCUUGCUGGACGAUGACUGACGUUGAGGCUCGAAAGCGUGGGGAGCAAACAGGAUUAGAUACCCUGGUAA